rnacentral:rRNA from 1 species
GAUGAACGCUGGCGGCGUGCCUAAGGCAUGCAAGUCGAACGGGCCUCGCAAGAGGUCAGUGGCAAACGGGUGAGUAACACAUUGGUAACCUGCCCCCAAGCCGGGAACAACCCUUCGAAAGGAGGGCUAAUUCCCGAUGUGCUGGGUCUGCGCAAGCAGAUUCAGUAAAGGUUUUUCGCUUGGGGAGGGGCCUAUGGCUUAUCAGCUAGUUGGUAGGGUAACGGCCUACCAAGGCUAUGACGAGUAGCGGGUGUGAGAGCACGACCCGCCUCACGGGGACUGAGACACUGCCCCGACUCCUACGGGAGGCUGCAGUCAGGAAUUUUCCACAAUGGACGAAAGUCUGAUGGAGCGACGCCGCGUGAUGGAUGAAGCCCUUCGGGGUGUAAACAUCUUUUCUCAGGGAAAAACUCAUGAUGGUACCUGAGGAAUAAGAGGUUGCAAACUCUGUGC